rnacentral:rRNA from 1 species
AACGAACGCUGGCGGCAUGCCUAACACAUGCAAGUCGAACGAGACCUUCGGGUCUAGUGGCGCACGGGUGCGUAACGCGUGGGAAUCUGCCCUUGGGUUCGGAAUAACAGUGAGAAAUUACUGCUAAUACCGGAUGAUGACUUCGGUCCAAAGAUUUAUCGCCCAAGGAUGAGCCCGCGUAGGAUUAGGUAGUUGGUGGGGUAAUGGCCUACCAAGCCGACGAUCCUUAGCUGGCCUGAGAGGAUGAUCAGCCACACUGGGACUGAGACACGGCCCAGACUCCUACGGGAGGCAGCAGUGGGGAAUAUUGGACAAUGGGCGAAAGCCUGAUCCAGCAAUGCCGCGUGAGUGAUGAAGGCCUUAGGGUUGUAAAGCUCUUUUACCAGGGAUGAUAAUGACAGUACCUGGAGAAUAAGCUCCGGCUAACUCCGUG